UACGAAGGGGGCGAGCGUUGUUCGGAAUUACUGGGCGUAAAGGGCGCGUAGGCGGCCUUCUAAGUCGAACGUGAAAUCCCCGGGCUCAACCCGGGAACUGCGUCCGAGACUGAAAGGCUCGAAUCCGGGAGAGGGAUGUGGAAUUCCAGGUGUAGCGGUGAAAUGCGUAGAUAUCUGGAGGAACAUCGGUGGCGAAGGCGGCAUCCUGGACCGGUAUUGACGCUGAGGCGCGAAAGCCAGGGGAGCAAACGGG
rnacentral:rRNA from 1 species